ACUCCAGCCUCCUUGCAAGCUUGGGGCGCCUCAUUCUCUCCCGUGCCCCUUCUCCCAGCUGGGUCUGAGCCCCCGCCCCCCUGGCUCCUCCGUUCUGCUUCUCCCAGCUUCUCUGUCCAUCUCCCCCAAUGGCCUCUCUCUACACUCUCUGCCUCAGCUUCCAGGUCUCUGCUGGUCCCUAGGAAGCACUUUGACCUCUGCUUCCCCUUCAAAUGCUGUGGAUCAAGCCUCCCCAACCCCACCAUCCCACCAAAGGGGGCUGCUGACCGAGAGAGCUCACUCAGCCAGGUAAGAAAGCAUCCCCUGCCCCCACCCUCACCCCAAAGCCCCCAGUCCCAUCUGGGGCCCUGGGCAGGUCAGGCCCAGCCCCACCCCGUCAGGUUGCCUUCGCCCUGGGUCUGGGAUGCCUGACUCUUUGCCCCUCCCCUGCAGCUCUGGAGUCCUUUGCCCUCCUCUUCCUGCCAAGUCAGGGGGCCCUGACUGCUCCCCUGCCCCCUGUCCAGGCCCUCGGGAGGCUCCCUGAGGCCUCUGGGAAAGCAGGAAUCCACCAGCCCUCCCCCACCCCAGCUGGGAUCAGGACCUUGGACAGAAAAGAGAUGGGCCCCUUUGGAGCAUCUUUGGGGCUCGGUCUCUCUCUGACUCCCUGGCCACCCCCUGCAGGCCUCUGGUCCCCGGUCAUAGCAAUUGAGAGCACCGAACAGAGUAGGUUUGGGGCCUCAGUUUGGUGAACUUAGUCUAGCUCCUUCCCGGCUCUAAGCCCCAGUUUCCCCAUUUGUGAAGCAGAGUCACCAAUAGCUUCUGCCCAGGACUCCUCACCAUGAAGGGAAAUUAUUCCUGUGAAACCUCAGCACAGCGCCCAGGAAGUAGUGAACCUCCUCAAGCAGGCGCUGUAGGGUGGAGGUCAGGGAGCCGCUGGGGAGGGGUGGCCCCUGUAGCCCCCAGGCCAUCCUUCCUUCUCCCCCACACCCCCAUCCCCCACCCCCACUAGGUGGGAGGUGGGUUGGCCCAGAUCUUUCCAGGCCACCAUUCCUACAAGUUAAUGAUCACAGACCUUAUCAGAGCCUUUUGCCAUUUAUAAAUUUAUAAAACAAAAGAGAAAUAAUAAAGCACAUGGGUAAUUAGUAACUAGGUCAGCUCUGCUGAGGAGAGGGGAGGCAUCGAGCUCAGGACCCACCCAGUUCUCCAGGAGACGGGGAGUCCGCCAGCGGAUGGGGAUGUAGAACGGGCAGCCUCUAAUGGCGCCUGCUGGUGAGGUGGGGUGCCUGUGGCCAUACAGGAAAGGGGAGCAGCUCCCACCUCGAGGCUCUGUCUGCCUCAGAUGGGGGUCUCGCUCUGUUGCCCAGGCUGGAGUGCAGUGGUGCAAUCUUGGCUCACUGCAACCUCCGCCUCCCGGGUUCAAGCAAUUCUCCUGCCUGAGCCUCCCGAGUAUCUGGAACUACAGAGCCAGAUUCUUACUCUGUCACCCAGGCUGGCAUGAUCAUAGCUCACUUCAGCCUAGAACUCCUGGCUUCAAGCAAUCCUCCCACCUCAGCAUCCCAAGUAGCUGGAACUACAGGUACGCACCAUCAUGCCCAGCUUCAUUUAUAUAUUUAUCUUUUUUGUUUGUUUUUUGAGACAGGGUCUCCUUCUGUCGCCCGAGCUGGAGUGCAGUGGCACAAUCUUGGCAAACUGCAACCUAUGCUUCUGGGGCUCCCGUGAUCCUCCCACCUCAGCCUCUCCAAUAGCUGGGACUACAAGCGUGUGCCACCAUGCCUCGCUAAUUUUUGUAUUUUUUAGUAGAGACAAGAGUUUGCCACAUUGCCCAGGCUGGUCUCAAACUCCUGAGCCCAAGCCAUCUGCCCACCUCGUCCUCCCAAGGUGCUGGGAUUACAGGGGUGAGCCACUGCACCCUGCCUAUUUAUUUACUUUUCUUAGAGAUGGGGGUCUUGCUUUGUUGCCCAGGCUGGUCUCGAACUCCUGGGCUCAAGCAAUCCUCUCACCUCAGCCUCCCAAAGUGUUGGGAUUACAGGCAUGAGCCAUCUCACCUGGCCAGUAAUGUAUUUCACUCCAAGAACAACUCAUGAAUUAGGAACUGUUAUAAUCCCCCUUCUGCAGGGGAGGAAAGAGAGGCUCAGAGAGGUUAAAUGACUGCUCAGAGUCCCUCAGAGCUGGGCUUUAAGUCCACCUGAGGCAGGCGGACGGGCUGUGCAGGACAAGUUGGCAGCCCCCGCCUUAAGGAGAGUGGUACCCUCUUUCCUCCAGUGCAUUUAUGUUUUAUUUUUAUUUUUGAGACAGAGCCUCACUUUGUCACCCAGGCUGGAGUACAGUGGUGCGAUCUCAGCUCACUGUAACCUCUGCCUCCUGGGUUCGAGCAAUCCUCCUACCUUAGCCUCCUGAGUAGCUGGGACUACAGGCACACACCACCAUGCCUGGCUAAUUUUUGUAUUUUUGGUAGAGACAGGGUUUCACCAUGUUUGCCAGGCUGGUCUCAAACUCCUGGCCUCAAAAGAUCCACCCACCUCGGCCUCCCAAACUGUUGGGAUUAUAGGCGUGAGCCACCGUGCCCGGCCAAGUGCAUUUUUUUGUAAACCCCCGUGCAAGUUGCUUUGAGGUUGAGCAGCUUACUGCUGGGGACAGCAUUCUCAAGUCCAGGCUAAACAGGGAAGAUGCUGUGUGCUGUCCCUUUGUGGCUUUGAGGUUCUCCUGCUUAUUCUCUUUGCUGCCUGCAGCUGCCUCUUGGUGACUUUCCCUUUCCAGGGAGCCAGAGGAACCAAGGAGUGUUGGCCCUGACUCCUGCCCCCAGCAUGUAAACUCAUUAACUGCUGGGUCCUCAGGCAGUUAGGUGGCUGAGCAUUUGAGUCUGGGACGGCAGGUGGAUUUGGUUGGAGAGGGAAUGACAGAGAUUGGGGAGGAGCCUCCAGAGUCUAAAGAGAUAGGUACACAAGCAGAAAGUUCCAGCCCCCAGCCUGCCUUUCCCCCAUGCUCAGGGGACAAAGCUGAAUUAACUCGAGGUCAGGAAUGGCAUUUGCAUUUGCAUUCUUGAGAGUCACUGCAAAUAAGAGCUGUAGUCAUGGUGAGUGGUUAAGGCAAUGGACUAGAGAACCACUGAGAAAAAAAGCGAACAGUGGCUGGGCGCAGUGGCUCAUGCCUGUCAUCCCAGCACUUUGGGAGACCGAAGUGGGUGGAUCACUUGAGGUCAGGAGUUCGAGACCAGCCUGGCCAACAUGGUGAAAACCCGUCUCUACUAAAAAUACAAAAAUUAGCCAGGCUUGUCAGUGGGCACCUAUAAUCCCAGCUAGUCGGAAGGCUGAGGCAGGAGAAUCACUUGAACCCAGAAGGCAGAGGUUGCAGUGAGCUGAGAUCAUGACACUGCACUCCAGCCUGGGUGACAGAGAGAAACUCCGUCUCAAAAAAAAAAGAAAAAGAAAAAAAAAAAAAGGAACAGCCGGACAUGGUAGCUCAUACCUGUAAUCCCAGCGCUUUGGGAGACCGAGGCAGGUGGAUCACCUGAGGUCAGGAGUUCCAGAUCAGCCUGGCCAACAUGGUAAAACCCCAUCUCUACUAAAAAUACAAAAAUUAGCUGGAUGUGGUGGCGCACACCUGUAGUCCCAGAUACUCAGGAGGCUGAGGCAGGAGAAUAGCUUGAACCCGGGAGGCGGAGGUUGCAGUGAGCAGAGAUCACGCCACUGCACUCCAGCCUGGGCGAUAGAGUAACAAUCCGUCUCAAAAAAAUCUGAAAAUUAAAAAUUAAAAAGUGAACAGUUGUUUAGUAAGUGCAGUAGGUAGGCCAAGAUAACUAUUAAGUAUGUCCUAACAAGGUAGCUGCUUGAAAAAAAUAAUGCACAUAAAUUAAAAAAAAAAAAACUAUUUUCACUCAUUCUUAACUUCUCGUAUGGAUGUACUAACGGGAGGCCUGUGCCUGUUGGGCUGUCCACAGCUACUCAAACCUUGAGAUUAGAUUGGACGCUAUCUAAUCUCAUUUCCUGUUACACAAUAACUUCUGCAUGGCACUUGCUUUUAAUCAUGACAACUGCCAUACACUCAGCUUUACAAAAUCAUGUCAUUGUGGAAAGGAAGUUCCCUCCAUCUAACAUUCAAAUUUAACUAUCCUGAGCUGGUAGUUUGCAAGGUGUCCAACAGAUGUCACUGUGUUUCCUUCGCAAAUUCUCUAAAAUAGUCUGCUGUGUCCCGGGGCAUAGUAGAUAUUCAAGAAAUGGUGGCUAUGAGUUUUAUCACAAUUCUCUCCUACUGGGUGAGCAGCUGUUUGCAAGACUAAAAUUCGGGCGAGGCACAGGCUUCCCCUUGGUCUUAGCAGCUAGCACAAGACGAGUGUCCCUUCAGCCAGUCUCAGAGCUCUUUGGCAAUUCAACUGACCCUUGUCCUUCAGUCCAGACAAUGCCCCAGGGCCCACCUGCAUUCAAACUCGGACUGUUCUCCUUCCCACCCCUAUUAUCUUUUCAACUUUAUGGACAGUACAUGCAAUUUUCUCAUUCAUUUUCUCAUUUAACAUCUAACAGCUUCAUGAUAUCCCCAUUUUACAGAUAAGGAAACCAAGGCUUUAAGAGGAUAGGGACCCUAAUCGGCUAAGGCAGAAUUAGGAUUUGAACCCAGAUCCCCAUGACGCCAGAAUCUAAGCCUUGACCAAAUAUGUGUUACUAUUACUUUUGUUGUUGUUGUUGUUCUGGGUAACUCCAACCCUCUGCUCGUUGGCCUUGUCACCUCAGUGCUGAUUUUGCAGAUGAAGAGACUAAGGUUCCGAGGUGCUAGAGCACAGUGGUUAGGAACACACACUCUAGAGCCAGAGUGCCUGGGUUUGAGCCUCGUUCUGCCGUUUACUAGCCGUAUGGCCUUGGGCAACUUGCUUAACUUCUCUUUGCCUCAGUUCCUCUUCUCUUGGGUUGUUAGGAGAAUGAAUGAGGUGAUAUCCACAGUGUCCAACACCCUGCAAGCGGCCAGGUGUGGUGGAUCACACCUGCAAUCCCAGCACUUUGGGAGGCCGAGGCAGGUGGAUCAUUUGAGGUCAGGAGUUCGAGACCAGUCUGGCCAACAUGGCGAAACCUCAUUUCUACUAAAAAUACAAAAAUUAGCCGGGCGUGGUGGCAAACAACUGUAAUCCGAGCUACUAGGGAGGCUGAGGCAGAAGAAUCGCUUGAACCCAGGAGACAGAGGUUGCAGUGAGCCAAGAUUGCACCACUGCACUCCAGCCUGGGCGACAGAGUGAGACCCUGCCUCAAAAACUAAAAAUAAAAAAUGAACAGUGUCCAACACCUUGAAAGCAUUCCGCAUGACUGAACGAUCACUGUUACGUGAUUACCAACAUGACGACCCCACUUCUCUUGGCCAAACUGAGUUCUCUUCUCUUGUAAAAACUUCUGCAUAUGAAGUCACCCAUUCCAUUUGACUCUUUAGCCCUCAUCCUGGCAUUCAAGGGCAUGGACGACUCAACCCCACUCUCUAGCCAGCCUGACCUCUCCAUUCCCUUCUCUGGCGUAGAGGCCACUCCCACCACCUGCCCUUACCCCCUGCCCACUUUUGUCAGCCUGUACUGUGUUGAAGCUCCCAGGAGAGACAACUGCAGUCAUCACUUUCCACUGUGUUCAGUGAUGUCAGUUCGGCCCAGCUGGAGGUACUCACAUCAUGGAAACAGACCAUCAGAUUUGGUGUGUGUGUGUUUUAUUUUGCUUUUUCAGAGAGCCAGCUGUUAAACACUAGCCAACACCCCAUUGAUGCUGUUCCUUCUACCUGAAACACCUCGCAUUGCCGGUGAGCUCUAAAGACAAAAGGACCUGGGUCUGCAUUUCCCAAAGGCAAGACUCUGGUAUCACCUGCAUAUUAUUUUCCCAUAUUUGAGCACCACUGCCUUUUGCAUUAUUUACUUAGCAGUUUUGCUCCUGUCAACUCACUUUUUUAAAACUAAACUUAUUUUAAAAAGAAAAGUUUUGGCCGGGAGCGGUGGCUCAUGCCUGUAAUCCCAGCACUUUGGGAGGCCGAGGUGGGCAGAUCACCUGAGGUCGGGAGUUCGAGACCAGCCUGACCAACAUGGAGAAACUCCGUCUCUACUAAAAAUACAAAAUUAGCUGGGCGUGGUGGCGCAUGCCUGUAAUCCUAGCUACUCGGGAGGCUGUGGCAGGAGAAUUGCUUGAACCCAGGAGGCGGGGGUUGCAGUGAGUCGAGAUCGCCCCAUUGUACUCCAGCCUGGGGAACAAGAACGAAACUCCGUCUCAAAAAAAAAAAAAAAAAAGAAAAAGAAAAGAAAAGCUUUAUAUAAUUUUAAUACUCAAAAAAACAGUAUCCCGGCCAGGCACAGUGGCUCACACCUGUAAUCCCAGCAAUUUGGGAGGCCAGGCAGGAGGAUCACUUGAGGCUAGGGGUUCAAGACCACUUGAGGCUAGGGCCAACAUGGUGAGACCCCGUCUCUACUAAAAAUACAAAAAUUAGCCAGGCAUAGUGGCACGUGCCUGUAAUCCCAACUACUCGGGUGGCUGAGGAACAAAAAUCACCUGAAUCCAGGAGGCGGAGGUUGCUGCGAGCCGAGAUCGUGCCACUGCACUUCAGCCUGGGUGACGGAGUGAGACUCUGUCUCAAAAAAAGAAAAAGAAAAAGAGUAUCCCUUGCCAUAAAUAGCAAGCAGUCAUUCAGACAUGGAAAUGAGGCAUUCACACUUGUUCUUGUUUCACACUAAGGCCCUAAGCCUAAGGAGGGUUUCUCUAUGUUGAAAGGAAAUUAGGCAGUGUUCAGAGGGGUGUUAAAGAUAGACUAGCAACUAAUUGAAACUUUCUCCUCAAUGUAAGCACUUUAGAAGGGACUGAAAAGAGAAUGUUCUCCCUACAUGUACCAUAUCACCUACAAUUACCUCGUGUACCACUAUUUUGCAAAUAAAUGCCAGAGGCAAGAGUACAUUUUGAUGCUUUAGCCUAGCACUCAAAGCCCUCCUCGAUUUGAAUCUUUCCAGCCUCAUCUUGCACAGCCCCUCCAUACCCAGACCUCACCCACUCUAUUUGCCAUCUCCAGAACAUACCCCUAACUUUCUCACCUCUGUGCCUUUGUGCAAGCUGCUCCCUCUACCUGGAAACCUCCAUUUGUCAAGCUGCUGCUGUCUUCAAGAUCUACCUGGUCAGAAUCUCCUGCUGUCCUCUUCUGCCACCCACAGCAAUGUGAGCCUUCACUGGCUGGCCUUCCCUACUCACUGGAGCAGAGCUACGGCAUCAGAAUGCCCUGGAGCAGGGGUUAGAAACACAGAUUUCUGAGUCUACACUCGAAGAUUUUUUUUUCUUUCUUUCUUUUUUUUUGUUUUCCAAUUUUUCUAAUUUUAGAGAUGGGGUCUCACCACGUUGCCCAGGCUGGUCUCAAGCUCCUGGACUCAGGUCAUCCUACCACCUAGGCCUUCUAAAGUGUUAGGAUGAGCCCUGAACCUUGUAACAUGAACAUUUAUUAGUUAUAUCUGGAAAAAAAUAUAAAGUUAUUUUUAUUUGGGUGAUACUGCCUUCAAAAAACAAAAACAAAAAAAAACAGGAGGCCGAGCACAGUGGCUCAUGCCUGUAAUCCCAGUGCUUUGGGAGGCUGAGGCAGGCGGAUCACUUGAGACCAGGAGUUCAAGACCAGCCUGGCCAACAUAGUGAAACCCCGCUUCUAUUAAAAAUACAAAAAUGGGCCAGGCACGGUGGCUCAUACCUGUAAUCCCAGCACUUUGGGAGGCCGAGGCGAGUGAAUCACGAGGUCAAGAGAUCAAGACCAUCCUGGUAAACAUGGAGAAACCCUGUCUCUACUAAAAAUACAAAAAUUAGCUGGGCACGGUGUCACGUGCCUGUAGUCCCAGCUACUAGAGAAGCUGAGUCAGCGGAAUCGCUUGAACCCAGGAGGUAGAGGUUGCAGUGAGCUGAGAUUGCACCACUGCACUCCAGCCUGGGCGACAGAGUGAGACUCUGUCUCAAAAAAAAAAAAAAAAAAAUUAGCCAAGUGUGGUGGCACAUGCCUGUAAUCCCAAUUACUCGGGAGGCUGAGGCAGAAGAAUUGCUUGAACCUGGGAGGUGGAGGUUUCAGUGAGCCAAGAUCGCACCACUGCCCUCCAGCCUGGGCAAUAGAGCAAGACUCCAUCUCACAAAAUAAAAAGCCAAAAAAAGCUCUCGACAGUUCUGUUCCCCGCCUGAGGUGUUUGUCUCAGGAUCCCGGCCUGGCUGUGGGCCACAGAUGGCAAAAACCAAGGUCCGUCUAUUACUGGGCAUCCAGGGUUUCAUAAUCUCUACGACCUCCAUGCCUGGAACUCCACACAUUGCGCAUGCCCCAGAAACGCUUGCCCAACGGACCCCAAUCCACCAUUUCUGAAUGCAUUUUUCAUGACUUGCUGAAUGUGUCUUGUUAAUCCAAUUAGAUUGUAAACUCCGGGAGUGCAGGGACAACGUUGACCUUCCUAUUACUCCCCUCACCCCCGCCCAGCUCUGGGCUGGGCACACAGUGACCCUCAAGGGUAGCACAAAGACUUGAGGCAAGAAAAACACCUGUAGAAGGAAAAGGCUGGAUACUGGGAGCGCCUCUGUCUGCUUUGCUGCCAUCCUCUUCUUCAACAACAAAGGACACGCUAAUUCUAUGCAGCAAAAGUUUCCAAACACGUUAGCCUAAGAAUUUCGAGUCAUGCAAAAAAUAAAUUCCCAGAGUCACAGGGUUAAAAAAAAUCAGAUUCCAGGGCCCCAUCCUUGUUGUUCCUGAGUCAGACUCCCCAGUCAAACUGCCAGAGAACCUCGUCUUUGAACAAACACUUCAGGCAACUUUCCCAGGAUAAAGCAAGUUUCAGAAACUCUCACACAGCUUCUUAGGUAUCUCAGAUAUGGCUCUUGCCCUCCAGAUGUUUACAAAUGAAAACAAGAAAUCUGGUUCCAACAAGCAAAAGCCCAGAGAGACCUCAAACACAAAGAUGCAAAUCAAAAUUAGUAGAGAAAUAAAUGAGCCGGGACGUUGUACUUCGGUCGCGGGGCUGGCUGAGGUCACUACCUGCACAGCCGACUGUUGGAAGUUCUGCGGUAUACCAGCUGAAUGGCCUUGAACAAGUCCCAUCUCCACUCGGAGCCUCCGUUUCCGCAUCUGUAGAAUGGGGAUAUGUGGGCCUAACUCACAGCGUUGUGAGAAUUCAACAAGAACACAUCAAGCAGCUGUGAAUGUAGCAAGCCGGCAUUUGAUUAAAUGUUAGUUUUCGUCCUAAGAAAAAUAGCUAAUAUUUCUGAGCACUUACGGCCGAGCCCUGAGCUAACAUUUACUUCCUCCUUUAACUCCCACAACAACCCAAUGAGGUAGGAUCUAUUAUUAUCCCCAUUUCACAGAUGCGGAAAUUAAGACACAGAAAGGUUAAAAAAAAAACACGCACAGGCCAGGCGUGGUGGAUCACCCCCUGUAAUCUCAGCACUUUGGGAGGUGGAGCCUGGAGGAUCGCUUGAGGCCAGGAGUUUGAGACUAGCCUGGGCAACAUAGCAAGACCCUGUCUCUAUAAAAAAAAAUUUAAAGCUGAGUGCAGUGGCUCACGCCUGUAACCCCAACACUUUGAGAGGCUGAGGCAGGUGAACUCUUGAGCCCAGGAAUUCAAGACCAAACUGGGCAGCAUAGUGAGACCCUGUCUCUUAAAAAAAAAAAAAUCAGCUGGGCGUGGUGGUGCAUGCCUGUGAUCCCAACUACUCGGGAGGCUGAGGUGGGAGGAUCGCUUGAGCCCAGGAGUUUGAGGUCUCAGUGAGCUAUGAUUGUGCCAUUGCGCUCCAGCCUGCACAACAGAGAAAGGUCUGUCUUAAAAAAAAAAAAAAAAAGAAAAGAAAGAAAAGAAAAAAGAACCCAACGUCUCCCAACCAGGAAAUGGCAGAGCUGGGAUUAGAGCCUAGAAAACCUAUCCUGUAGCCCCAGGAGGAAAUAGCCUCACGGGAGCAAAACCACCAGGUGUUUAGGACUCAUGAAAAUUAUACAUUGGCUUCUUUGGGAAAAGUGGCCCAUUCAGCUGAGCAGGACCCAAAAUAGCAAAAGGGCCAAGGACAGCCCGCCUGCCCUAGGUGUGGCCCCAGCCAGGAUUCCUAGCCCUGCGAGUUUUCCCAGAUUGGCCAACACACGUCUGAACCCCUGGGAUCAGGAAGUGCCAAUGCCUGGGUCUUGCUAAAGCCAUUUACCGUCGACAGAUAUCCCACCGAUGGCCAAGUGCCAGUUAGUCACGGCCUCAGUGCAGCACCUCAUCCCUCCCAGAAAGCCAUGGCUCUGGACUCCACCCACUGAAAACAGGGCUUUUGUGGGAAUACAAUGGGACAAGAAGAAAAACAUGCUGAACCUGAUCUCCAUGGGACCUGAUGUGGAGUCACGUUCAUUCACAUCACUGGCUUGCAGCCUCUCCACUCACAAGUUAUUGAUAAUCGAAAAAAUAAAACACCAUGCGAUCGUAUUUCUGGGCAGAUAGAAUGCAAGAGCCUGGGGCACUGGUUGUUUCUGGGGAGGGGAAGGGAACCGAGAGACCCAAGAAGAGGGUGGACAAGCUAGGCACGGUGGCUCACCCCUGUAAUCCCAGCAUUUUGGGAGGCCAAGGCAGGCAGACACUUGAGGUCAGGAGUUCGAGAUCACCCUGGCCAACAUGGUGAAACCCUGUCUCUACUAAAAACAUAAAAAUUAGCCAGGCGUGGUGGCAGGUGCCUAUAAUCGCAGCCACUCAGGAGUCUGAGGCAGGGGAAUCACUUGAACCUGGAGGCAGAGAUUGCAGUAACCGGAGAUCGUGCCAUUGCAUUCCAUCCUGGGCGACAGAGCGAAACUCCGUCUCAAAGAAAAAAAUAAAAGGACUAUGAGUGGGAGCAGAUGUAGGGAGAUGCAAGGGACGGAGUAUCAGGAGAACAGUACCUGUUCUGGGCUCUCCGCUAAUCAAACCCAACCACCAGGCAGAGGCAUGGGAGACCCCCACACACAGAGCAGGGUGGAGACAGGAGAAGCGAUCGCAGAAGAGGCCAGACCACCACCCAAUAGAUGUGGGUAACUAUUCAAAACUCAGAUCAUCUGAACAGAAAAAGGUAAAUGCUAUGAGCUAAAAACUUCAAGGUUCUUUGCAUCAGUGCCCUUUUUUUUUUUUCCUGAAGUUAUUUCAAGUUGGAUUUCUACCACUUGCAAACCAAAGAGUCUUGCCGAACAGAGACGGAAACAUGGAAGAUUUCAUUGAAGUGGAAACCUGGCAUUGUAAUUGCCCACUGCUUGUAAAAUUCAGGCCAGUGUGGUGGCUCACGCCUGUAAUCCCAACACUUCGGGAGGCUGAGGUGGGCAGAUCGCCUGAGCCCAGAAGUUCAAGACCAGCCUGGGCAACAUGGCAAGACCCUGUCUCUAUAAAAAAUUUUGGUUUAAAGCUAAGUGCAGUGGCUCACACCUGUAAUGCCAACUCUUUGGGAGGCUGAAGCAGGUUAAUUGCUUGAGCCCAGGAGGUCGAGACCAAACUGGGCAACAUAGUGAGACCCCAUCUCUAAAAAAAGAGAAGAAAAGAAAAUCAGCAGGGAGUGUUGGCACAUGCCAGUGGUCCCAGCUAUUCAGGAGGCCGAGGUGGAAGAAUCACCUGAACCCAGGAAGGUCAAGGCUGCAGCAAGCUGUGAUAGUGCCACUGCACUCCAGCCUGGACAACAGAGCAAGACCCUGUCUCAAAAUAAGUACAUAGGCUGGGCGAGGUGGCUCAUGCCUGUAAUCCUAGCACUUUGGGAGGUCGAGGCGGGCAGAUCAUUUGGGGUAAGGAGUUCGAGACCAGUUUGGCCAACACGGUGAAACCCCGUCUCUACUAAAAAUACAAAAAAAAUUAGCUGGGUGUGGUGGCACAUGCCUGUAAUCCCAGCUACUUGGGGAGGCUGAGGCAGAAGAAUUACUUGAACCUGGGAGACAGAGAUCGCGUCACUGCACUCCAGCCUGGUUGACAGUGCGAGACUCUCAAAAAAAAUUGGCCAGGCAUAGUGGCUCACGCCUGUAAUCCUAGCACUUUGGGAGGCCGAGGUGGGUGGAUCACCUGAGGUCAGGAGUUCGAGACCAGCCUGGCCAACGUGGCGAAACCCCGUCUCUACUAAAAAAUACAAAAAUUAGCUGGGCAUGGUGGCACAUGCCUGUAAUCCCAGCUACUUGCGAGGCUGAGGCUGGAGAAUCACUUGAACCUGGGAGGCAGAGGUUGCAGUGAGCUGAGAUCGCGCCACUGCACUACAGCCUGGGUGACAGAGUGAGACUCUGUCUCAAAAAAAAAAAAAAUCAAUUAAUUUAGCUUAAUUCAGCUGCUUCACCUUGGCCUACAAGGGGCUGGGCCACCCUGUCCAAUCCAUGAUCACCUUUUUCCACUGUCCACCUGCAGUGCACAGCAAGUCGCCUACAGCUCCUCCCAUACCCACAGCCCCUUCCUGCCUGGGACCUUCGCCCAUGCUGUUCCUCCUGCCUGAACCCCUCUCCUAGCUCUUCCUCCCAUCAGCACCUCAUUGUCAUCCCUUCCCUAUCCUGUGGUCUGAAUGUUUGUGUCCUCCCAAAGUUCAUAUGUGGAAUCCUAGCCCCCCAGGUGGUGGUAUUAAGAGGUGGGGACUUUGGGGGCAGGAUUAGUUCCCUUAUCAAAGAGGCCCAAGGGAGCUUGUUUGUCCCUUGCACCAGGUGAGGGCCCCGCAAGAAGGUGCCCUUGCUGGAGAUCCCAGACUCUAUGAGAAAUAUUGUUUAUAAGUAACCCAGUUUAUGUUUUUUUGGUUUUUUGGUUUUUUUUUUUCAAGGUGGAGUCUCGCUCUGUGGCCCAGGCAAUCUCGGCUCACUACAACCUCCGCCUCCCAGGUUCAGGCGAUUCUCCUUCCUCAGCCUUCUGAGUAGCUGGAAUUACAGGCACCCGCCACCAUACCCAUCUAAUUUUUGUAUUUUUAGUAGAGACGAGGUUUCACCAUGUUGGCCAGGCUGGUCUCGAACUCCUGGCCUCAAGCAAUCCUCCCGCCUCGGCCUCCCAAAGUGUUGGGAUUACAAGCAUGAGUCACCAUGCCUGGCCUAUGGUAUUUUUUUAUAGCAGCAGGAACAGACUAAGACAUCCUACUUCUCAGCUUAAACGUCACCUCUGCACAGAGCCCUUCGUGAUACAUCUGAACAGAUUCUUUUCUGUGACUCUCCAUCCCUGCACUGUAUUUGCUCUUUCAGGGUGCUUUUUCACAUUUGUGAGGGUGUAUGCAUCUCCUCUUCCAGGCUGUAAGCUUCAUAAAGUCUCUGUUUUGUUCAUAACUAGAACAAGCCCUAGCACCUAGCAGUGAGUGUUCAUUAAACAUAUGAAGAAUGAAUCAGCGAGUGAUUUCAUGUCUCAUCAUCUCUAAAAAGCCUGUUUGAUCACUUCCAGGACCAGGAAACUCCUGACAUUAUCAAGGAUGCCACUGCAAAGUGAAAUGUCAUAAACAUGUAGGAGUUGAUUCUUUCCAGAAGCUGGCAGUCCAGGACUAGUGUGGGGGCUCCACAGUGUCACCAGAGCUUUGACCUUCCUGCCCUACCAUCUUCAGUGGGUGGCUUCUGUACUCAGGGUUACCUCAUGGUCCAAGAUGGCUGCUGGACUCUAGCCAUUAUAUCCAAAUACCAGGUAGAAUAGAGGACAAAAGCAGUGAACCUCAAGGCUGAGGCUCCUGGAAGCCUCAUACACUUUUACCUACUACAGUCCAUGGAACAUAGUGUAGUCACGGGGCCACACCAAAAUGCAAGAGAGACUGGGAAAUGUCUUCAUUCCAGGCAGCACGAUCUGAAUCUGUUAUUAAGGAAAAAAAUAGGAAGAAUGGAUAUUGGGUAUGUAACUAGCUACAAAUGAUCAUGGCAUCUCCGUUUAUUGAGCACUUAUUAUGUGCUAGACACAGUCCUAAGUACUUAAUAAAUGUGGCCCGGUCAAACAAGAUUGCCCUCUGCCCCCAAGAUUGCCCUCUGCCCCUUCUGUAGCCAGGGACACACACACACACGCACGCACGCAUGUACAGGAGCCAGUUGGGCCUGGCCCCCUUCACUGCGGGUACUGACAUGCGAAGUCUUUGUCAUAUGACUCUGAGCAGGGAGGGAGCAGUGUCCUCUUAGCAUAAUAAGAUCAGGAUUCAUAACAUUAAAUCAAAGUGCUGUAACUCACAGGAAUAUCAGUUUCCUAUUCAGAAGAUAGAGGAGAAUGUUUUCAGAAGGAAAUUGAACUUUAUGGUUUGAAACACGUUUAAUUUUAAAUAUGUUGAGAGAAAACCAGCUACAGCCUGGCAUGGAAACUCCUGUUGUUCCAGCCAAUGCCUUGGAGAACCAGAGACCACGCCCCCUUCCUCCCUGCUGAGGAGUCAACGAACGAGACCAAAGUCCCCUGUUCUUCUCUGCAGUCAGCAGAAAUCAGAGAAGAACAUCUUUAGACAGUCAGCAGACUCAGGAACUGUGUACUCUAGGACUUUUUAAAAAUUUUUUUACUUUUAUUUUUUUGAGACGGAGUCUCGCUCUGUCGCCCUGGCUGGAGUGCAGUGGCGUGAUCUCAGCUCACUGCAACGUCCACCUCCCAGGUUCAAGCUAUUCUCCUGCCUCAGCCUCCCGAGUAGUUAGGAUUACAGGCGCCUGCCACCACACCCGGCUAAUUUUUGUAUUUUUAAUAAAGACAAGGUUUUGCCAUGUUGGCUAAGCUGUUCUCCAACUCCUGACCUCAGGUGAUCCACCUGUCCCAGCCUCCCAAAGUGCUGGGAUUACAGGCAUGAGCCACCGCACCCAGCCUGGGACUUUUUUAUUUUUACAGAGAUGGGUGAUGAUUCAUGGGACGUUGGAGAUGCCCCAAGACUGGAGAUAUGAUUUGGGGGAUCCUGAGGAUUGGUGACCUAGGCAAAACUUGGGGAGGCUGGAUCCUGGGUAUGGAGUAGCCAAUCUGAAUAAAGACCCCUGCGCCAAAGGUUGGCACAGAAAUAGUGGUCUUGCCAGCCUUCAGGGGAGGCCCACACCAGUCCUAGACUGCCUGCUUCUGGAAGGAAUCAACUCUUACAUGUUUAUGCCAUUUCACUUUGGGUUUUCUGUUCUAUACAGCUAAACCUAAUACUGGACUGAUACAUUAUUAUUAUUUUCAGAACCAACCAAAGCUGGAAUAACACUCUUGAUAAUGCCAGUUUCCUGGUCCUAGAAGUGAGCUAACAGGCUUUUCAGAGAUGACGAGAUGUGAAAUCCCUCACUGAUUCAUGCUUCAUGUGUUUAAUGAGCACCCACUAGGUGCUAAGCCUUGUUCUAGUCAGGAAUAAAACCGAUACUUCACGAGGUUUACAGCCUGGUGGAGGAGACGUGUAUCAGGCUAGUGCGUGUAGACCAAAGGCCAGAGGCGCCCACUCAAGCAUUUCCACCUACAUGAGAAUCCCAUAGUCUUUUUAGAAGAAUAGAAAUAGUAAGCCCUGAGUCACGACUGCAUUUGAAUGCCACCUUACCUGAAGUCUGAAUCAGGGAUAAUUUGAUUUCAGAAGAAUAAAAUGAGGCUCCUAACACCUGUCCCAAAUUGCAAGGAAAUGAGGGUAUUCUCUUUUUUUUUUUUUUUUCUGAGAUGGAGUCUCGCUCUAUCGCCCAGGCUGGAGUGCAGUGGCGCGAUCUCGGCUCACUGCAAGCUCCACCUCCCGGGUUCACGCCAUUCUCCUGCCUCAGCCUCCUGAGUAGCUGGGACUACAGGCGCCCGCCACCACGCCCAGCUAAUUUUUUGCAUUUUUAGUAGAGACGGGGUUUCACCGUGUUAGCCAGGAUGGUCUCGAUCUCCUGACCUCGUGAUCCGCCCGCCUCGGCCUCCCAAAGUGCUGGGAUUACAGGCGUGAGCCACCGCGCCCAGUUGAAAUGAGGGUAUUCUCUAAGAGGCAGAUGACAGAACCUACUGCAAUGAAUUUGUCAAGCUCAAGGCUAAGGACACAGUCCCUCCACAAGGCAGCCUUCACUUCAAAUGCCAGGUGCAACUGGGGAUUCCUGGGCCACCCUCACUUCUGACCGCUUGGCUGCAUUGAGGGUUCCCACUACCCCCUGUGGUUCAAUAAUUCACUAGAAUGACUCAUGGAACUCAGGAAAGUGCCCCGCCUCAUAACGACAGUUUUUAUGAUAGCAAACAGACACAGAUCAGAACCAGCCACAAGAAAGGACAUAGAGGGUGAGGUGCGGAAGGGGUUCAAGUGCAAAGCUCCUAGUUACCUUCUCUCCAGACAGUCACCUCCCCCCAGCUAUGAUGCGUGAUGACACUCAGAGAAUACUGCUAACCAGAGAAGCUCCUGAGGCUUUGGUGUCCAGCGUUUUUGGGGGUUUUGUUUUUGUUGUUGUUGUUUCUGAGAUGGAGUCUCGCUCUCGUCGCCCAGGCUGGAGUGCUGUUGCGUGAUCUCAGUUCACUGCAACCUCCACCUCCUGGGUUCAAGCGAUUCUCCCGCCUCAGCCUCCAGAGUACGAGUAGCUGGGAUUACAGGCAUGCACCAUGCCCAGCUGAUUUUGUAUUUUUAGUAGAGACAGGGUUUCACCAUGUUGGCCAGGCUGAUCUCAAACUCCUGACAUCUGGUGACCCGCCCCCCUCAGCCUCCUGAAGUGCUGGGAUUACAGGCAUGAGCCACUGCCAGCCAGUGUCCAGCGUUUUUUAGUGGGGCUUGAUCCCUUACUGCCAGUGUGGCUGACCUUUCAUCUCCAGUCUCUCCUGAGCUAACUCUUGUGUAUCCAGCUCAUCUGGAGGUUGGAACUGAUACAGGAUGUUCCAAAGCCUUCAUUACAGAUCACAUUGUUAGACUAUCUGGUGGCCAAAGGCCCCAGGCAAACACAGACACUUCCAUCAGACAGGACGUUAAGGGGCCUAGAGAUCACCUCCCAGCAACUGAAGGCAAAGAUAAUCCUCCUACUGUACAUCCUUUUUUUUUCUUUUUUUUUUUUUAAGAGACAGGGUUUCAUUCUGUCGCCCAGGCUGGAGUACAGUGACACACUCAUGGCUUGCUGCAGCCUCGACCUCCUGGGCUCAAGCAAUCCUCCUGUAGCUGGGACUACAGGUGUGCACCACCACACCCCGCCAACUAUACAUCCACCACCACCCUGUCCUCUCAGCCCCCAAAGUCAUGAGGCUUUGACUAGGUAUCAGGAUGUCUUCAAAUGAAAAUUAAUGAAAACAGCGGGCCCGGUGGCUCACACCUGUAAGCCCAGCACUUUGGGAGGCCGAGACAGGUGGAUCACCUGAGAUCGGGAGUUCAAGAACAGCCUGAUCAACAUGGAGAAACCCUGUCUCUGCUAAAAAUACAAAAAAAGUAGCUGGGCAUGAUGGCACAUGCCUGUAAUCCCAGCUACUUGGGAGGCUGAGGCAGGAGAAUUGCUUGAACCCGGGAGGUGGAGGUUGUGGUGAGCCGAGAUCAUGCCAUUGUACUCCAGCCUGGGCAACAAGAGUGAAACUUCGUCAAAAAAAAAAAAAAGAAAAAAAGAAAAGAAAAUUAAUAAAAACAAAAAUCCAAAGUUGGACACACACACAGAGAACACCUUAGGACAAUAGAGGUACACCGUGGAGUGCUGCAGCAGCAAGCCAAAGAUUGCCAAGGAUUACCAGAGACGUGAGACGUUGGAAAGGGCAAGAGUGGAAUCUCCCCUCUCCCCCAAGUUUGAGAGGGGGCCAAGCCUUACCGACACCUUAAUUUGAGGCCUCUAGUCUCUAGAAAUGCAAUGUGCAAGGCGGGGCGCGGUGGCUCACGCCUGUAAUCCCAGCACUUUGGGAGGCUGAGGCGGGCCUUAAGGUCAGGAGUUCAAGACCAGCCUGGCCAACAUGGUGAAACCCUGCCUCAAAAUGCAAAAAGUAGCCAGGCGUGGUGGCAUGUGCCUGUAAUCCUAGCUACUCAGGAGGCUGAGGCAGGAGAAUCACUUGAACCCAGGAGGCAGAGGUUGCAGUGAGCCGAGAUCACACCAGUGCACUCCAGCCUGGGCAACAGCGUGAGACUCCAUCUCAAAAAAAAAAAAAAGGGCCGGGUGCAGUGCUCACGCCUGUAAUCCCAGCACGUUGGGAGGCUGAGGUGGGAGGAUCACCUGAGGCCAGGAGUUCAAGACCAGCCUGGCCAAUAUGGUGAAACUCUGUCUCUACUAAAAAUUCCAAAAAAAUUUAGCAGGGUGUGGUGGCGCAUGCCUGUAAUCCCAGCUACUCGGGAGACUGAGACAGGAGAAUUGCUUGAACCCGGGAGGUGGAGGUUGCAAUGAGCUGAGAUGGCGCCACUGCACUCCAGCCUGGGAGACAGAGUGAGACUCCGUCUCAAAACAAAACAAAACAAAAAUGCGACGUGCAGUGAUGUGCUCCAGCUGGUGUGAUCCCCUUGGGGAUGUGGCAAUGGAUGGGCAUCCCCAGACUUGAUGAUCAUCCCUUUGUCUCUUACCAGCAAUCCCCAAACCAAUUCACAAGUUCUGUUUUGUUUUGGUUUGGUUUUUUGUUUGUUUUUUGAGACAGAGUCUCACUCUGUCGCCCGGGCAGGAGUGCAGUGACAUGAUCAUAUCUCACUGCAGCCUCAAACUCCCAGGCUCAAGUGAUCCUCCCACCUCAGCCUCCCUAGUAGCUGGGACUACAGGUGUGCACCACCAUGCCUGGCUAACUUUUUUCAUUUUUUGUAGAGAUGGGGGUCUCCCUAUGUUGCCCAGGCUGGUUUCGAACUCCUGGGCUCAAGUGAUCCUCCCAUCUCAGCCUCCCAAAGUGCUGGCAUUACAGGCGUGAG
rnacentral:lncRNA from 1 species